CAAAAAAUGGAACCCUUAUGGAUCCAUCAUGUCUGUCUGUCUGUCCGUCCGUAUGUUACAGCCACUUUUUUCCGAAACUAUAAGAACUAUACUGUUGAAACUUGAUAAGAAGAGAUGUGAACCGCAUUAAGAUUUUCUCACAAAAAUAGAAAAAAAAAACAAUAAAUUUUUGGGGUUCCCCAUACUUAGAACUGAAACUCAAAAAAUGUUUUUUCAUCAGACCCAUACGUUUUUAAUAUAUAUUUUUUCUAAACUGAAUAGUUUGCGCGAGCGACACUUCCAAAGUGGUAAAAUGUGUGCCCCCCCCCCCCUGUAACUUCUAAAAUAAGAGAAUGAUAAACUAAAAAAAUAUAUGAUGUACAUUACCAUGCAAACUUCCACCGAAAAUUGGUUUGAACGAGAUUUAGUAAGUAGUUUUUUUAGUACGUCAUAAA